rnacentral:tRNA from 2 species
UGCGGGGUAGAGAAGUGGUAUCUCGCAAGGCUCAUAACCUUGAGACCGUGGUUCAAAUCCACGCCCCGCUA